UACAGAGGGUGCGAGCGUUGUCCGGAAUCACUGGGCGUAAAGGGCGCGUAGGUGGCCCGACAAGUCACUGGUGAAAGCUCGAUGCUCAACAUCGAGUCGGCCAGUGAUACUGUUGGGCUGGAGCACUGUAGAGGCUAAUGGAAUUCCGGGUGUAGCGGUGGAAUGCGUAGAGAUCCGGAAGAACACCGGAGGCGAAGGCGGCUUGCUGGGCUCGGUCUGACGCUGAGGCGCGAAAGCGUGGGGAGCGAACAGG
rnacentral:rRNA from 1 species